AUCGCUUCUCAGCCUUUUGGCUAUGAUCAUGUGUAGUAGUCCCAUGUAGCGCUGCCCCUAUAAAAAAAAAUUGUCCUGAUUGUAAUAGUAUAGCAAUCUAUGAUAUUUAGGAUUUUAUAUAAUUAAAUUUAUUAUUUCUGUAAUCAGAUCAUGCCUGCAUUAUCAAUACAUCUGCGUGUGUGACCAUAC